GACGAACGCUGGCGGCGCGCUUAACACAUGCAAGUCGAACGAAGUGGCGAACGGGUGCGUACUACGUGGGUAACCUGCCCUCCUUUAUGGGAUAAGCCUUUGAACAGGGGCCUAAUACCGAAUAAAGGCGGCUGGGCUCGCGGCUUAUCAGCUUGCUGGUGGGGUGAUGGGCUACCAAGGGGGUGACGGGUCGCCGGCCUGAGAGGGUGACCGGCCACAUUGGGACUGAGAUACGGCCCAGACUCCGACGCGAUGCAGCAGUGGGGGGUAGUGCACAAUGGGCGAAAGCCGGAUGCAGCGACGCCGCGUGGGGGAUGAAGGCUUUCGGGUUGUAAACCUCUUUCGCUAGCGAACGGGUAGGUGGAGAAGAAGCGCCGGCUAACUACGUGCCAGCAGCCGCGGUAAUAC
rnacentral:rRNA from 1 species